rnacentral:rRNA from 1 species
AACGAACGCUGGCGGCAUGCCUAACACAUGCAAGUCGAACGAGACCUUCGGGUCUAGUGGCGCACGGGUGCGUAACGCGUGGGAACCUGCCCUUAGGUUCGGAAUAACUCCCCGAAAGGGGUGCUAAUACCGGAUAAUGUCUUCGGACCAAAGAUUUAUCGCCUUUGGAUGGGCCCGCGUUGGAUUAGCUAGUUGGUAGGGUAAAAGCCUACCAAGGCGACGAUCCAUAGCUGGUCUGAGAGGAUGACCAGCCACACUGGGACUGAGACACGGCCCAGACUCCUACGGGAGGCAGCAGUGGGGAAUAUUGGACAAUGGGCGAAAGCCUGAUCCAGCAAUGGCGCGUGAGUGAUGAAGGCCUUAGGGUUGUAAAGCUCUUUUACCCGGGAUGAUAAUGACAGUACCGGGAGAAUAAGCUCCGGCUAACUCCGUG